rnacentral:rRNA from 1 species
CUGCCAGUGAUAAACUGGAGGAAGGUGGGGAUGACGUCAAGUCAUCAUGGCCCUUACGACCAGGGCUACACACGUGCUACAAUGGCAUAUACAAAGAGAAGCGACCUCGCGAGAGCAAGCGGACCUCAUAAAGUAUGUCGUAGUCCGGAUUGGAGUCUGCAACUCGACUCCAUGAAGUCGGAAUCGCUAGUAAUCGUAGAUCAGAAUGCUACGGUGAAUACGUUCCCGGGCCUUGUACACACCGCCCGUCACACCAUGGGAGUGGGUUGCAAAAGAAGUAGGUAGCUUAACCUUCGGGAGGGCGCUUACCACUUUGUGAUUCAUGACUGGGGUGAAGUCGUAACAAGGUAACCGUAGGG